rnacentral:rRNA from 1 species
AAUCAACGCUGGCGGCGUGCCUAACACAUGCAAGUCGCACGAGAAAGUGGAGCAAUCCAUGAGUAAAGUGGCGUACGGGUGAGUAACACGUGAAUCAUCUACCUUCGAGUGUGGAAUAACUGGGAGAAAUCUUAGCUAAUACCUCAUAAUACCUACGGGUCAAAGCAGCAAUGCGCUUGAAGAGGAGUUCGCGGCAGAUUAGUUAGUUGGCGGGGUAAUGGCCCACCAAGACGAUGAUCUGUAUCCGGCCUGAGAGGGCGCACGGACACACUGGAACUGAAACACGGUCCAGACUCCUACGGGAGGCAGCAGUGGGGAAUUUUGCGCAAUGGGGGAAACCCUGACGCAGCAACGCCGCGUGGAGGAUGAAAUCCCUUGGGAUGUAAACUCCUUUCGAUAGGGAAGAUAAUGACGGUACCUAUAGAAGAAGCCCCGGCUAACUUCGUGCCAGCAGCCGCGGUAAUACGAGGGGGGCAAGCGUUGUUCGGAAUUAUUGGGCGUAAAGGGUGCGUAGGCGGUUUGACAAGUCUUGUGUGAAAUCUAUGGGCUCAACCCAUAGUCUGCACAGGAAACUGUCG